rnacentral:rRNA from 1 species
UACAGAGGAGCCAAGCGUUGUCCGGAUUGACUGGGCGUAAAGCGCACGCAGGCGGAUGCGCGCGUGGGGUGUGAAAUCUGGCCGCUUAACGGCCAGGCGCCAUCCCAUACGGCACGACUGGAGGGCUGCAGAGGUCGAUGGAAUUGCCGGUGUAGUGGUGAAAUGCGUAGAGAUCGGCAGGAACACCCAGGGGGAAACCAGUCGACUGGGCAGCACCUGACGCUGAGGUGCGAGAGCGUGGGGAGCGAACCGG